CCUGAGCCUUGUACACACCGCCCGUCAAGUCAUGGGAGUUGGGAGUACCCGAAGUCCGCUUAGCCAACCGUAAGGGGGCGGCGGCCGACGGUAAGCCCGAUGACUGGGACU
rnacentral:rRNA from 1 species